AUGCAGACCUAAUUGUGAAGCGAAGUGAGUUUUUCUGUUAUCUUUUGCUAUGUCUAGUAAUGCGAAACAAUUUGUAAAUCAGCAUUGCACUUUGCCAAUUAUUAUGACUAACCUGCCUCUUGUACACUUAUAAAUGCAUGGUGCUAUGUAGAAAUUGGAAAUAUAAAUGAAAUUUGAAUGACAUUACAUCACAGGAAUUAGAUUAUUCUAUCAAAUUUUCACUGCUGUAAACUUGCAACAAAUAGGCAUGCGUUAUUUGUUGCAUGAAUUAAUUCCCUAUUUGAAUGUUAGCAUUUGCUUAUAUCUAUCAUCUAGAAGACUUUCAUUUUGCUCUUUGUUCUUUCUGUUUUUCCCAAUUCUAUUCCCCUGAACCUUAUCUACUUUGGAGUUAAUUCAUGCAAUCGUGGUUUAUCUUUUGUUAUUGGUCCAUGCUGUGUUUGUCAUUUGGAGACUCCACCUGCCUGGAUUAUGAUAUAAGAUUGCUUCUUUCUGUGUGGAUAUAAAUUUUUCAGGAAGAUCUAGCAUCUAAUAUUAAAUUUCUUUCUAUUUAUCUAUCAGAUGUUUUCCCCAAGUUAUUGUUUCUUAAGCAUGGGGAAUCCUGCAUCUAUUUCUAAAUAUAUGUUGGUCGACUGAAAUAUUUUCGUAUUGAAGUUUCGUCUUGAUCCAAGGGCAAUUAGUGGGAAAAAGGUGCACUUGAUGGUCUUGUAGUAGAGUUCAAUAUUUGCUAGGUUUUGGUCAUUCGGUUACAUCCUAGUUUCUUGAGUGCAGAGUUACUGCUGUAGAUGGUCAAUA
rnacentral:misc_RNA from 1 species